AAGCCCAUGGUUCCCCGGGGUCGUUUCCGUACACCCCGUCACCGGGGAAGUUUCUCUGAGCGCACAGAGCGCCCGAAACCCCGAGGACAGGCCCGGCGUUCUCCCCGGAGUGCGGAGCUGGCUCCCGCGCGGCUUCCGCAGCCGUCAUUUGCGCUGAUCAUCAGUCGUUCGUUCCUCUCCUCCUUUGGGAGAGGAGGAGGGGGAAGAGGCCGUGAGGGCU